GAUGAACGCUGGCGGCGUGCCUAAUACAUGCAAGUCGAGCGAAGCGGGUACGGGUGUGUACCACGUGGAAAACCCCCUAUAAGACUGGGAUACCUUCGGGCAACCGGAGCUUUACCGGCUACUUAUAGAUGGAUCCGCGCGGCAUUAGCUAGUGGGUAAGGUAACGGCUUAGCAAGCCAACGCUGCCUACUCGACCUGAGAGGGGGAGCGGCCACACUGGAACUGGGACACGGUCCAAACGCAUACGGGAGGCAGCAGUAGGGAAUCUUCCGCAAUGGGCGAAGGCCUAACGGAGAAACGCCGCGUGAGUGAUGAAGGUCUUCGGAGCGUAAGACUCUGUUAUUAGGGAAGCGGUACCUAAACAGAAAGCCACGGCUAACUACGUGCCAGCAGCCGCGGUAAUAC
rnacentral:rRNA from 1 species